GCAAAUAUCUGUGGUUCGUGUGUGUUUCGCUUUCUUGAUUUUUCAGUGGUGAACGCCACAGUGAGAAGACGAGAAGGUUGUGCUCUCCAUCUGAGUGUGCUUAGGAUAACAGUUUGUAUUUCCAUGUGGAUAGUUUUGUCUAGUGCAUUUAAUUUUAAAAAUGGAGUGGUUAACGUUCCGUGGAAAACUGGAGUCGUGUUGGCAUGGUCAGACUAGAUAUUUUUAGGCUCUUCCAUGGACCUUUCUUACCUCCCAACAAGAACAACAACAAAGUAGUUUGUAGGCUUACUCCCCUAGUAAACUUAAAAUGUUACUCCGUGCAUCAAGUCGACUGAUGAACUGAGUUUGUGGGUCGUGCAGAGCUAGGUCGGUGAAAAGGAACCCUGAAAAAAAAAGGAAAAAACAAUAAUGCUCAAGAAUGCCGAUCGUUGACAGAUUUCAUUUUCAUGGAAUAUCUUUGCUAUAUGAACCCCCAGACCUACAACAUAUGUUGGCGCAAAACAAAUUUACCCAAAUGAGCUUCUUUCAACGCCUCAUCCCAACCAACAUGGUGCAGUAAGGUAUCGCAGGAAGAAAUUACAAGAAGCAAGUGAAGAUACAGGAGACAUAUAGCAAACUAGAAGAAAACCGACAGAGAACCAUACACCAUCAAUUACCCACUCUUCUCCCUUUUCACAACAGACUUUAUUUACUGGACCCUGUCGACCAUCUACAGUCCCCACCUGUUCUCCAUCUCAAGGUGACGAUACCCCAAUCAGCCGAUUUCCUUUCACUCAUAAAAUACCUGGAGAAGUCGCUGAUUGAAGAUCAUGCUUAGGAUCAGACAAGAGGAGGAAAGGAGACAAAAAUAAAAGUUAAGACAGAACAAGAAGAAUUAAAAGGAUGAAAUUCCCUGGCAACAGGAAGCAGACCGCUACACCGCCUCUGUAUAUGCUAGCCCCCCUCAUACAGCAAGCAACCACAGGCAGCCCCAGCAUGCCACCUUUAAUACCUGCAGCUCCUACCACGCCACCAGAGACUGCAGCGAUCCCGUCAGUACCCCCUCCUCAGAAAGCAACUUUAAAAAUGUUUUGGGAAUGGCGACAUCUUUGGGAUGAUCAUUCAGUCAUGCUGGAUCUGCCCAAGUUACCCAGAGAGACGCAAGUAAUUCAGAUGAUGUGUCUUGUCUUGGAGAUGUUAAGGAUCCUUGAGGACACCCUAGUAGUUAUGUCUGUCCCGGUAGAUCUUCAGCUUGUGAGGAAACCUGCAUGAAGGUGAUCAUCCUCAUGGGAGUCUAAGGAUGAAGAACUGACAGAAUCUCAGAGCCCUUGACACCAACGCCUGUUUUGAGGAUAACCUGUGUCACACCUUUGAGGCAUCUGGCCACCUUCUGCAAUUCAUGUUUUGCCCUCUCAAGCAGAAGAAACAGAGAAGAGUCCAGCAGCAGACAUCGCUUGCAGCAACUGUGCCCACAAGGGGCAUUGGACACAAGGCACAGAGGUGCCCCACCAGACACGUCCAGUGCCGCCACUGCAACUGACUGGGGGACAUUACAACAGAUGCUUCCAGGAGAAAACAAAGGAUGCCAAAUAAGGUACUACCCAGUGCCAAGCCUACACCACCCUCUAAGGGGGCAAGAACCCUGGGAGACCUCCUUCUGUCAAGACACUGCAGCCAAUCUCCAUGUCCCUCUGGUAUGGUGACAGCACAUCCAGGAUUCAGAUGUUGCCUGACACAGGUGCAGACAUCUGUUAAGCUGUUGGCAUCUCAACCUUUUUCCUGUACAUUCCUGGAAGCGUGCUACAACCCACACACACCAGUUACCCUGAUAUUCACCUCAGAUGGCUCUACGGUAACACCUCCUAUAGGAUCCUGCAUAACCACUUGCACCUUUGUGGAGAGAUUUUGUUUAGCCAGGUUUUGAAGAAAGCUCCACUCAAGCCAAUGGAGGGACCCCCAGUCUCUAUCUAUCUUAAGGAAGAUGCCAUACCUUUUGCCAUCAAUGCACCUCGCCAGAUACCAUAUGCUUUCUGGGAACAAGUCAAGGAAGAACUGGAGUUCAUUGAGCCCACCAGAGACAAACCUCCUCAGACUGUAGUCACCCUCUUGUUGUAGUACCUCAGGACAAAGGUGUUCAAAUCACUGCUGGCAAGUAAAGCACCCAGCCCACCCAUCACCCUCACUGUUAUCUAAUGUCUGCAGCACUGAUCUGAAGGUCUAGUCUUCACCAUGGGUUCUUCAAAUGCAACUUGCAGAGGAUGGUCAAAAGUUAACCACAUUCACAUUCUUAUGGGCAUAGUAGGUCCACAUUCACAUUUUUAUUGGCCACAGGAGACACUUACUGCCUUCGAAGAGACAAGCUCUACAAGGUAGUCUACGACAUCCUGCUGUACCACAAAGAUUUCCCCAACCAUCUAUGCUGAAUCCACGAGAUGUCAACAAGGUGCCUCAAGUAUUAUGCAUCACGCUUAACAAGGAGAAAUUUGUGAUUGCUACCACCAGCAUUACCUUCUGCAGGUUUCUGAUCUUCGUUCAUUUAGUAGUGAACCAACUGGCCACCUUUAGGCCUGAGAUAGCUAACACAGCUCAACCCCUUCAAAUCUGAAGCAUGCAUUUGUAUGGAUCGCAGAUCAGGACAAAGCACUAUGCCAAGUGAAAACAGCCACAACCCGUCCUUGUCUCCUUUGAUCCAGUUAUCUCCUAGAGACUGACACUUUUAAACUUGGAUAUGCCCUUCUACAGGACCACAGCAAUGGAAGGCUCCAUUUAGUGUAGCUAUCAUUUUCUCGUCCUUGCUAAGCUGCACUUCACCACAAUCUAGUUGAAGAUAUUAGCUAUGCCUAGAUGCAAACUAUACCUGAUGGGCCUCCAACAUUUAUGCUGCCAGACCAAUGCCCCCUCAUGCCAAUUCUCAACCAUUUCACUCUGGAUGUGGUCAAGGAUCCCAGUUUGCACCAAUUCACUCUGGAUGCAGUCAAGGAGCCCAGUUUGCACCAAUGUCUCAAUGAGAAAAUCUCGCCAUAUCUGUUCAGAGCUGUAUUGUGUGUUAGCAAGCAGCUCAGCAUACCCAACAUCCUGUAUUGUGCCUAUUUGCCAGGCAGGACGAAAUUGCCCUUACAUCAGGACCAUUACCGCCGCUCGUGCAGCAGCACAAGGCUUCAUCCCAGGAUGAUUAAAGAUCAUGUGCUACUGCUAGGUACAUCCGUCUUCAAGAUUGCAUGCUGGCAGAUUUCUUACUGAUCAUUACAUUUUUCUGGAAACUUUAGGACAGCUUCUUAGUUGACACUGAGCUUGUACAGUAAGGAUGGAAUGAGAUGAGGGUGUAGUUCCUCCCACGCUCUAUCAUGACUCCAUGACAGUCACCGAGGAACAGAAGCCACAAAGCAACAGGCAAGACAGACUGUUUUGGAAUCUACUGUCCAAGCUUGUGAGCCUCACUAGGUUUUACAACCUAGCCUCCAGCAACGUCCUCUUCAAAAUAAUGACCACCUAUUUGGCCCUUUGAGUCUGUGUCGGUGGACUUCAACGUCACAGGGAAGUAAUUCUUGAUGACGACCAAACAGGCUUGUGGUUGCCCCAUACUACAGUGACAUAACUUCCUCUGCAACAAUAAGGAUCUUCUGUAGACAUUUUAGGGAGGUUGGUGUCCCACUUCACCUCGAGACCAAUGGUGGACCUCGACAAUUGAAUUCAGGGAUUUCAUUGAGUACAUAAUCUCGUUGCUGCCAAGCAGUCCAUGGCCAACCUGUAAAGCCUUUUAUACUGUUGUCAGUGGCCCCCAGCAACAUUCACAGUGGAGACAUUGACCAUGGCCUCUUGGAAUCAUGGAACACUCCAAACUUCACAGGCUGCUCCCCUACACACAUCCUGUAUGACCACCAUCCACUUCACUCCUGUGUGCCUGCUCAUCUUCUGUCAUUCUCGCAGGAGUGACUAAAGGAAGCCCAGGACUGCGAUCGCUGUGCUGCUGCCAGAGGCAAACUUGUACAGAGGUCAUACAAUCAACAUGCACGUCCCCUACCCAGGCUAGAAGUUGGACAGUCAGUCAGCUUCAGACUUCUCACCAUUGGGACACAGUCGGGAUCAUCAUGAACUAUGGCAGGUUAAGGGACUAUGAAGUACAUCUCCUCAGUGGACGAGUAUACUGAAGAAACAGGGGUUGAUUCUCUACCUCACAUACCUGUGGACCUUCACAUGGACACACACGAGUCCUCUUUCACCUCAUGUAGAUUUCCCAGAUGAAGAACCUGCUUGAGAUGGGACAAGGAGGUUUUAGAUACUUUAUAGUUUAACAAUGUAUUUUAUUGCAGUGUAUUCUUGCCUCAGAGUAUAUUGAUAAACUGAAGACAUUCAAAUCAAUGCUUACCCUCUCCAAGUUUGGUAUAUUGUACCUU